rnacentral:rRNA from 1 species
AACGAACGCUGGCGGCAUGCCUAACACAUGCAAGUCGAACGAGACCUUCGGGUCUAGUGGCGCACGGUGCGUAACGCGUGGGAACCUGCCUUUAGGUUCGGAAUAACUCAGAGAAAUUUGAGCUAAUACCGGAUGAUGUCUUCGGACCAAAGAUUUAUCGCCUUUAGAUGGGCCCGCGUUGGAUUAGCUUGUUGGUGAGG